AAAGGAUUACAGUGAAAAAAAAUAAAUAAAUAAAAAGGAUUACAGUGUACUUGUUUUUCCUCAAGAUCUUUCUGGAAAAAUAACAUCUGUUAUAAAGAUGAAAGGCGCAGAACUAAAUUCUUGUAUUCUUUAUUGCAUUUGUGUUAAUAAUGAAAUACUACAGCUUACACCUUAGAAAUAAAGCACUGGAAAGGUUAUUAAUUGAUAAUGAAUAUUGUAGUUAUCUUAAUGCUGUUGGAAGACAAGAUUCUCCAGCUUUGAAGUACUUACUUUCCCAAAUACUGCUAAUUAACUGGCAAUGUGAAAGUGGUCCCACUGAAAUACACCGCUAAUAGUUAACCCCGUUUUCCAAAAAUGUUUUUAGCCACACCUUAGAAGAACCUCAGAGGUUUCAAACCACCCCCUUAAACUCAUUAUCGAAAUCUCUGACUCCUUAUUUGCUGUCGCUAAAAAACUUUGCCUGCCACAAUUUUGGCCCCAUUCUGUAGUAUUUACGAGGUACUCAAGGUCUCUAUACUAACCUAGACCCGUAUCACAUACAUGUCGGCCAAAAUGUCCGCAGAAAUAAGAAAGCUAUCGCCAAGCCAGCCGAGACACCUCAUAAACGGCCUUCACUGUCCUUUGAGCCAAUUAUUUAGGUAACAUACAAAGAGACUGCUGGUUCUAGUUAGAAUCCCACCGUCAGCUUCUCUAAGCGUCAGAAGGGUGUGCAUAAGGGCAGGGGAGAUCUCCAACCCCAUCUCAUUCCUCCACCCUGAGACGUAAGAAACCACCCACGGUACGAAAGCAGGCGGGGGAGGAAUGCUGCAGCCGGCUGCCAGGAAAGCGCUCUGCUAGGAGGCCGUUUCCCUGAGUCACGGAGAGGGCGGGCGGCUGGGCCCACCUGCCCAAGCCAUGUCCUCUUCGUGAGGGGCUCCGCUUAAAUAGGCAGGGCCCACAGGGUAUGGGAAUAGCACCGCUAUGCCCCGACGCGGCCCAACAGCCACAGCCAUUCCCGAGAGACUGCCUCUCCCCCGAACUCGCUCUGUAUUCUGGCAGCAGUCAGCCGACCCUUCCCGACCAGCAUCACGUGCACGCGGAAGUGCGUGGGUGGGACCGAAGCGCCCACGGAAAUGACGUCGCUCACUGCUAGUCGCAUGAUGUGGCAAAAUGCAAAAAAAAAAAAAAAAAAAAAA
rnacentral:lncRNA from 1 species